CAUGUGGUGCAAGCGUUGUUCGGAAUUACUGGGCAUAAAGGGUGCGUAGGCGGUGUCGUCAGUCUGGGGUGAAAUCCUGCGGCCCAACCGUGGGACUGCCUCGGAUACUGCGAUGCUUGAGUGCGUGAGGGGUGAUCGGAACGCGUGGUGUAGCGGUGAAAUGCGUAGAUAUCACGCGGAAGGCCAACGGCGAAGGCAGAUCACUGGCGCGCAACUGACGCUGAGUGCACGAAAGCGUGGGGAGCAAACAGGAUUAGAUACCCUGGUAGUCCACGCCGUAAACGAUGGGCACUGGAUCGUCGCGGCGCUAUGCCGUGGCGGUCGUAGGCAAUUCAUUAAGUGCCCCGCCUGGGGAGUAUGGUCGCAAGGCUG
rnacentral:rRNA from 1 species